UACGGAGGGUGCGAGCGUUGUCCGGAAUCAUUGGGCGUAAAGGGCGCGUAGGUGGCCCGGUAAGCGUGCGGUGAAAGCUUGGGGCUCAACCCCGAGUCGGCCGUGCGAACUGCUGGGCUUGAGCACUGUAGAGGCAGGCGGAAUUCCGGGUGUAGCGGUGGAAUGCGUAGAGAUCCGGAAGAAACACCGGUGGCGAAGGCGGCCUGCUGGGCAGUGGCUGGACACUGAGGCGCGACAGCGUGGGGAGCAAACAGG
rnacentral:rRNA from 1 species